ensembl:snRNA U6 U6 spliceosomal RNA
GUGCUAUUUCAGCAGCACAAGUACUAAAAUUGGGAUGGUACAAAGAAAACUAGCACAGCCCCUGUACAAGUGUGACACACAGAUUCAUCAAGUGUUCCAUGUUUUU